rnacentral:rRNA from 1 species
GACGAACGCUGGCGGCGUGCCUAACACAUGCAAGUCGAACGGAGCAGAGACUUCGGUUUUUGCUUAGUGGCGAACGGGUGAGUAACGCGUGAGAAACCUGCCUUUCAGUGGGGGACAACAGUUGGAAACGACUGCUAAUACCGCAUAAUGUAUCGAGAGGGCAUCCUUUUGAUACCAAAGAUUUAUUGCUGAAAGAUGGUCUCGCGUCUGAUUAGCUAGUUGGUGAGGUAACGGCUCACCAAGGCGACGAUCAGUAGCCGGUCUGAGAGGAUGAACGGCCACAUUGGGACUGAGAUACGGCCCAGACUCCUACGGGAGGCAGCAGUGGGGAAUAUUGGGCAAUGGGGGAAACCCUGACCCAGCAACGCCGCGUGAAGGAAGAAGGCCUUCGGGUUGUAAACUUCUUUUACCAGGGACGAAGAACGUGACGGUACCUGGAGAAAAAGCAACGGCUAACUACGUGCCAGCCGCCGCGGUAAAAC